UCAAGUUAUUAAGGGUGCAGGGCGGAUGCCUUGGCACUAGGAGCCGAUGAAGGACGUGAUAAGCUGCGAUAAGCUUCGGGGAGUUGCACGUAAACUUUGAUCCGAAGAUUUCCGAAUGAGGAAACUCACUUAGAGUAAUGUCUAAGUAUCAUUAAGUGAAUACAUAGCUUAAUGAGGGGAACUCAGGGAACUGAAACAUCUAAGUACCUGAAGGAAGAGAAAGAAAUUCGAUUCCGUAAGUAGCGGCGAGCGAACGCGGAUUAGCCCAAACCAAUAAAGUUUUCUUUGUUGGGGUUGCGGACAUAUCAUAACGAAGAGGUAUCGUAAUUGAAGAGGUUUGGAAAGACCCACCACAGAAGGUAAUAGUCCUGUAUGUUAAACGAGAAGACUUCAGAUAUGAUCCAGAGUACCACGGGACACGUGAAACCCUGUGGGAAGCAGGAGGGACCACCCUCCAAGGCUAAAUACUACCUAGUGACCGAUAGCGUAUAGUACCGUGAGGGAAAGGUGAAAAGAACCCCGGGAGGGGAGUGAAAUAGAACCUGAAACCCUGCACUUACAAGCUGUGGAAGCACAUUUCUUGUGUGACCGCGUACUUUUUGUAGAACGGGCCAACGAGUUACGUUAAGUAGCAAGGUUAAGCACUUAAGGUGCGGAGCCGUAGCGAAAGCGAGUUUUAACUGAGCGUUCAGUUACUUGACGUAGACCCGAAACCGGGCGACCUACCCAUGAGCAGGAUGAAGCGAAAGUAAAAUUUCGUGGAGGUCCGAACCCACGAGCGUUGAAAAGCUCGGGGAUGACUUGUGGGUAGCGGUGAAAUUCCAAUCGAGCCCGGAGAUAGCUGGUUCUCCCCGAAAUAGCUUUAGGGCUAGCCUCAAGGUGAGAGAUACGGAGGUAGAGCACUGAAUGUCCUAGGGGGUAUUGCACCUACCGAAGACUAUCAAACUCCGAAUGCCGUCAUCUUAUACUUGGGAGUCAGACUGUGGGUGAUAAGAUUCAUAGUCGAAAGGGCAACAGCCCAGAUCGUCAGCUAAGGUCCCUAAAUGUAAGUUAAGUGGUAAAGGAUGUGGGAUUGCACAGACAACCAGGAUGUUGGCUUAGAAGCAGCCACUCAUUCAAAGAGUGCGUAAUAGCUCACUGGUCGAGUGAUCCUGCGCCGAAGAUUUCCGGGGCUAAAACUUACUACCGAAGCUACGGCAUCAUUAUGAUGGGUAGGGGAGCUUCCCAUACGGGUUGAAGCAUGACCGUAAGGACAUGUGGACAGUAUGGGAGUGAGAAUGUUGGCAUGAGUAGCGAGAUGUGGGUGAGAAUCCCACAGGCCGUAAACCCAAGGUUUCCAGGGGAAGGUUCGUCCGCCCUGGGUUAGUCGGGACCUAAGCUGAGGCCGAAAGGCGUAGGUGAUGGACAACAGGUUGAUAUUCCUGUACUACCGAUAACCGUUUGAGAGAAGGGAUGACACAGUAGGAUAAGCUAAGCACACUGUUGGUUAUGUGUGCCCAAGCAUUGAGGCAGUCAAAGCAGGCAAAUCCGCUUUGAUAAUGCUGGGAUGUGAUGGGGAGCGAAAUUUAGUAGCGAAGUAGCUGAUUUCACACUGUCAAGAAAAGUCUCUAUCGAGGUUAAAGGUACCCGUACCGCAAACCGACACAGGUGGGUGAGGAGAGUAUCCUAAGGCCAGCGAGAGAACUGUUGUUAAGGAACUCGGCAAAAUGACCCCGUAACUUAGGGAUAAGGGGUGCCACCAUCCGGUGGCCGCAGAGAAUAGGCCCAAGCGACUGUUUACCAAAAACAUAGGUUUCUGCUAAGUCGCAAGACGAUGUAUAGGAGCUGACGCCUGCCCGGUGCUGGAAGGUUAAGGGGAUCUGUUAGAGCAAUCGAAGCAGUGAACUUAAGCCCCAGUAAACGGCGGCCGUAACUAUAACGGUCCUAAGGUAGCGAAAUUCCUUGUCGGGUAAGUUCCGACCCGCACGAAAGGCGUAACGAUUUGGGCACUGUCUCAACAACAGACUCGGUGAAAUUGUAAUUCCGGUGAAGAUGCCGGAUACCUGCGACAGGACGGAAAGACCCCAUGGAGCUUUACUGUAGCUUGACAUUGGGUCUUGGUACUACAUGUACAGGAUAGGUGGGAGGCUUUGAAACCAGGACGCCAGUUUUGGCGGAGCCAUCCUUGGGAUACCACCCUUGUAGUACUGGGACUCUAACCAUAGGCCAUGAAUCUGGUCUUGGGACACUGUCAGGUGGGCAGUUUGACUGGGGCGGUCGCCUCCCAAAAGGUAACGGAGGCGCUCAAAGGUUCUCUCAGUACGGUCGGAAAUCGUACGUAGAGUGUAAAGGCAAAAGAGAGCUUGAUUGCAAGACAUACAGGUCGAGCAAGGAUGAAAAUCGGACUUAGUGAUCCGGUGGUUCUGCGUGGAAGGGCCAUCGCUCAACGGAUAAAAGCUACCCUGGGGAUAACAGGCUUAUCUCCCCCAAGAGUCCACAUCGACGGGGAGGUUUGGCACCUCGAUGUCGGCUCAUCACAUCCUGGGGCUGUAGUAGGUCCCAAGGGUUGGGCUGUUCGCCCAUUAAAGUGGUACGCGAGCUGGGUUCAGAACGUCGUGAGACAGUUCGGUCCCUAUCCGUCGCAGGCGUAGGAAAUUUGAGAAGACCUGUCCUUAGUACGAGAGGACCGGGAUGGACGUACCUCUGGUGUACCAGUUGUUCUGCCAAGGGCAUGGCUGGGUAGCUAUGUACGGAAUGGAUAAGCGCUGAAAGCAUCUAAGCGCGAAGCCAACUUCAAGAUAAGAUUUCCCACCGCAAGGGUAAGACCCCAGAAAGACUAUCUGGUUGAUAGGUCGAAGGUGUAAGUGCAGCAAUGUAUUUAGCUUAUCGAUACUAAUAGGUCGAGGACUUGACCAA
rnacentral:rRNA from 1 species